rnacentral:rRNA from 1 species
UCCAGAGGUGGCGAUCGUUGUUCGGAAUUACUGGGCGUAAAGGGCGCGUAGGCGGCCUUCUAAGUCGGACGUGAAAGCCCCAGGCUUAACCUGGGAACUGCGUCCGAUACUGGGAGGCUUGGAUUCGGGAGAGGGAUGUGGAAUUCCAGGUGUAGCGGUGAAAUGCGUAGAUAUCUGGAGGAACACCGGUGGCGAAGGCGGCAUCCUGGACCGACAUCGACGCUGAGGCGCGAAAGCUAGGGGAGAAAACGGG